GACGAACGCUGGCGGCGUGCUUAACACAUGCAAGUCGAACGGAAAGGCCCUGCUUUUGUGGGGUGCUCGAGUGGCGAACGGGUGAGUAACACGUGAGUAACCUGCCCUUGACUUUGGGAUAACUUCAGGAAACUGGGGCUAAUACCGUAUAGGAGCUCCUGCUGCAUGGUGGGGGUUGGAAAGUUUCGGCGGUUGGGGAUGGACUCGCGGCUUAUCAGCUUGUUGGUGGGGUAGUGGCUUACCAAGGCUUUGACGGGUAGCCGGCCUGAGAGGGUGACCGGCCACAUUGGGACUGAGAUACGGCCCAGACUCCUACGGGAGGCAGCAGUGGGGAAUAUUGCACAAUGGGCGGAAGCCUGAUGAAGCAACGCCGCGUGCGGGAUGACGGCCUUCGGGUUGUAAACCGCUUUCGCCUGUGACGAAGCGUGAGUGACGGUAAUGGGUAAAGAAGCACCGGCUAACUACGUG
rnacentral:rRNA from 1 species